GGAGCCGCAAAGAACAGUGGGUCAAAGAUCACAAAGGCAAUGACAUGCAAAAAUUCCAUCCUAGAAUGGCUGUCCGUGACAACUCGGCCCAUAUUGAUGGAGUCCUGAGGGAACUUCUAGGGGAAAGGAUAUCACAUGAGACAGGAAGCAGAGGCCAGGUGAGAAAUUAGUGUCCCUGGGUUGAAACUGAACAAUCGGGCCGACAGCUGAAGAAUGCACAGUGAAAUGAAUCCUCAACUCCAACUUUUUACGGAGACCGGGCACAGAGAAGAGCUCUGACGAAGGAGUGACUGUGAGGACACAGUGGACGCUGACUCCCACCCGUGCAUCACUACAGCCACGGCUGCAAAGAUAUCCACAUCUUAAUCCCCAGGACCUGUGAAUACAUUAGGUCCCACAAGUUACAUGGCAAUGGAAAAUGAAGGUUGCAGGUGGAAUCAAGGUUGCUGAGCUGUUGACCUUAAAAUAGGGAGAGUAGCCUAGAUUAUACAGGUGGCCCAGUGGAACACUUUAAGGGUCCUUCAAGGUGGAAGAAGAUGCCAGAAGGGAGAAUCAGAGAGAUGGAAGCUUGAGAAGGAUUAAGACCAACAUUGCCGGCUUUGGAGGUGGAAGAGGGAAACCACAAGCCAAGAUAUGCAAGUAGCCUCCCGAUACUGGAAAAGACAAGGAAACAAAUUCUUCCCAGUGCUGCCAGGAGUAACACCCUCUGCUAACACCUUGAUUUCAGCCCAGUGAGAUCCAUUCUAGACUUCUGACCUCCAGAACUGUAAGAUAGUAAACUUGUAUGAGGUAAACCACUAAGUUUGGGGUAAUUUGUUACAGCAGCAAUAAGAAACUAAUACACUAUCGUUAUGCGUAUCCUAAUAUAAUGCAAUUUUUAUUUAUACGUCUAUCAUCCCCAUCAAUAAUAAUAAUAAUAAUAGCUAACAUUUGUUGAAUUUCCCCUUACUGUGAGCACUUAUUUUCUGGUAAGGCCAGCACCAAGUGUUUCAUUCACAUAAGACACUAAAAAAAAAGGUAACUUCAAUUGAACACACGAUGAAGGUAAACACAGGGACUUAAGAGUAGGGGAGGGAGUUAAAAGCAUCUUCGAGGAGAUAAAGACACAGGUGCUUUUUAAAGAUGAGUAGCAAUUAGCCUGGGAGAGAGGAAGAGCAUCCCCGGCAGGUGGAAGAACGUAAGCGGACACUCAGGGAAAUGAAACACAGGGCAUGUGCCGACAAGCACUCUGGCAGCUCCACAGCAGGCUGGUAAUAAUGUCUCUAGCCUGUCAGUCUCCUCGGAGGUCCAGGCCUCCUGCCUGCCUGAAAUCUCCACAGGAUGCCUCCUAGACAUCUCAAAUUUAGGAUGGCUGAUACAGAACUUGAUUUUCUCCAUCAGCAUAAUCCUCCUAGUCUUCCUGUCUCCCACAACAACGCCACCAUACACUCAGCUGUUCAAGCCAGAACCCCAGGAGUCACCCCUGAGUCCUUCCCCUUGCCUCAUUCCAAUGUAAUCUAUCACCAGAUCUCAUCAAUGCUAUCUCCAAGAUCUAAGUAGGCUCCGCCCACUUCUACCUCCAUUGCUGCUGUCCAGUUCUAAGCCACCAUCCUCUUUCCUCCUAAGUGGUCUUCCUGCUUCUACACUUUGCCCCCUAUGAUCCAUCCACUUUUCAUAAAAGCAGUCAAAGCAAUCUCAAAAAUGUCAAUCAGGCUGGCCAUGGUCACUCACCUGAGGUCAGGAGUUUCAGACCAUCCUGAUCAACAUGGCGAAACCCUGUCUCUACUAAAAAUAUAAAAAUUAGCCAGGUGUGGUGGCACAUGCCUAUCAUCCCAGCUACUCAGGAGGCUGAGGCACGGGAAUCACCUGAACCCAGGAGGCAGAGGUUGCAGUGAGCUGAGAUCGUGCCACUGCACUCCAGACUGGGCAACAGAGCUAGACUCU